AAAGGAAUAAGGAGUUGCUGUGGUUCUGAAAUCGGCAGGGGAAUGAGAUCUUUCCGUGGAAGAUUUGCUGGAGAAGUUGAUAGACCCGAUUGACCUUCUUUAGUAGUAGGAGUGGUAGGGUCAGAUAGGCUAGUUUCUCGGGAUGCUCUUGAAUGAGAUCUUUCAUUCUCAGUUGCUGCUUCAAGGGAAAGAGAUCUUUCUUCAGUGGCUUCGGAAGUAGAACCCUUAGAUCUCGACGAUACCUCUUGAAAAAAGUUCUUGCAGAAGUUUAGAUCGAUCGGCCUUGUUCAUUGACUUUCCCAAGGCAAAAGGCUUUGAAAAAGAGUCUAUUAACUCUGGAUCGGUACCCGACCGGGAAUUCGAACUCAAAGCAAGAUCAAGACUUUAGGAGAGGCGGAGGAGGCGCAUAUUGCGGAGAGGCAUCCCUUUCUCUCGCUAACCCUAGACCGCGGAGUGGGGUCUUAUUCCUUAUGCAGUUUUACCGGUAACAUUAGGCAGUCUCCGCUCCGAGAAGAGUAUUCAUGAUCCGUUAAGGAAGAAGAAAGAGUAAGCCAGGCCCCGGGCCUAGUUGAAUGAAUCAGAUUUAGGAGGGAUUCACUCUUUACUAGGUUUGAGAAUAGCCCUUGUUCAUUGAGGCGGUCCGCCGCUCAAAAAAGAGAGGUUACCGCUCGACUUAGACUGAAGAGGAUAGGAGAAAAGCAAGAAAAGACGGGGACCCACCCAGAGUCCGCUGGAUGAUUGACCGGAACAAGCGUUGGGACGAAAAGGGGGAGAGGUUAGUGCUAUCGUAAUGGAUAUUGAUCUCUCAUGCUGGUAUUUCCUGAUCUGUCUCGAUAUUCCUUCCGAUCCGGUGUGGACUGGGAAGUGCCGAAGAAGGAGAGAGCUGCUCAGUUCUGAGAUCGGAAGUCCUCUCUCUCCUCUGUCUCAGUACUCCUAUUUGAAAAUUCCCCCUGUAUUCAAGUUAUCCGGAGCAUUGAAUGAGUAUAUCUCUUCCAUAACCUCCUUCUCUGUACUGUAGCAAAGGAGAUAAUAGGGGCGAAUACAACUGAAGUAGGGAACCCCACUCGGGGGAGGAAAGGAAGAAAUAGUAGCUCUCCUCUUUUCAAAAACAAAGAAAGCUAGACCAGGACGAGGAUCAGAAAGUCCCUUGAAUCGCCCAGGAUAUCGGAGCAAGAAUCAGACUUCUCCCUUUCGUCGGUAGGUGAAAAGAAUAUUUCACUCUCUCUCUUUCCCCUUUGAAUAGGACGACUAGCGAACUAACUAAGCGGAUAUAAGAAUAAGGGAGGGGUGCGCGGGGAAUAAGCCAGAGUUAGAGGCAGAUGUCUUCUUCCAUCCGUAAAGGAUCAGUUGAUGAAGCAAGAAGAAAAGAAGAAAGCUAGGGAUAGAGAAAGUGAAAGUACAAAGACCCCAAACAAGGCGCAAAGAAUGAGAAUUUUCCCUAUAAGCUUCACUCUUUGUCUUCUUUCUCCGGAGCGGAAUAAAGAAUAGACCCGUAUUUCUCCGGACCAGAAACUAGAAGUUUGAACAAACUAUGUGAAUUGACAGGCCUAGGCUUGAUUCUUUCAUUGCUAUUUCCCGGCUUUUUUGCUUCUAAAUAGGACUUUUUUGAAGAUUGAUAUUUAACGAAAAUAGAGUGAAAAAGAAGGCAUUUGACUUGAAAAGUUGCGUUCCGUAUAGGCCCAAAACCUAGCAAAAUCAUUGAUUUCCCUCCGUCAAAAAGAGAGUAUGGAACUGCCCAUAUUAAGCAAAGAUGUCUGAAAUCUAGCACAAAGAUGCACAUUUUGCAUUCCCAUUUUGAGCUUCUUUCAUUAUCGUUAAUGAGUUAAUUAUUCUUUCAUUAUCGGUUAAUGAGCUGAUUUUCUUUUCCGCAAUAUUCUUUGCACCUUCGGACGGUCGUCUUGACCCUGAUUUCCAUAUUACUAGAUUCGGAGCAUUUAGCAUUAUGAAAUAAAUCAAGAUAAGACUCUUUCGCUUAGAAUAGGUUCCUUGGCCGGCCGCCUCAAACUAGAACAAAUAAGUAGGGUUACGGAAGUCAAUCGGGGAAGAGUAGGACUCUCACCUCGAACUCUUAUCUUUCGGUGUCCGAGCGGUAUGAAUACGAUUAUUGACUGCUACAUUCUUAAUCUCUUUCGUAAUCAGUCUCUGCCAUUCUCAUCUGAGGGAAGGAUUGGGACCAGAGUGCUUGAAUGAAGAUUUCGGUUUUCUUCCCCGUUUCAGAAGCAAGGUAAAGCGUCACAGGGUUCCAAGAUUCCCUAAUGGAUAGUCCUUCGGACCUGUCUUAUGGCACCGCGGAGUGGUCCGGAGGCGCAAUUCAAUAUGCGACUUUGCGCCUUCCUAUCCAAAAAAGAAGGUUACCCAGUUGAGUAUGAGUAGAGGGACGUCUUUCAGGGAGCAAAAGUACUGAAAUUCAGGAAGUCUAAUGGAUAGGACUGAGGCGCAAUGAAAUAUGCCUUGAAUGAUUGUAAGGAGCUUGAUUUUUCAUUGAGGCGCAAGGCUUAGGCCGAGACUUCGUGUCUUGAGGUUUAAGCCGGCCGACCUCAAGGCUUUCGCCGACUAGUUGCCUUUCUUUCCUUCUCUCACCUAUUCUUCUCAUCCUUCUCUCACGGGUCUUUCGAGUGCUUUCCUUGUCCCUUAUUUCUGUCUGCUUGGUUUUUCUCUUCUCGCAUGGGAGGGGGGGUUGUCUGAUGUCGGGUAGCUUAGAGGACCGAUGGUUGACGUCUUUCAACUCCGAUCGUGCUACUUCUUUUACGAAUGGACCGCCUCUUCUUUUCUUAUGUAUCAUUCCUAUGAUUAGAUCGCCCUAGACUGCUAACAUCUAACCCGGCGGCUUUCUUUCCUUUAAAGUCUUGAGAGGAAAAGGCUCGAUUCAACCCAGCGACUCCACAGGUUAAGCUUGAGAAAGUCCUUACAAGAUCCAGUCAAUUAAUUACAAUAUCCCGCUACGUGGGCCAUAGAUCUUUGCACCCUGUUCAUUUCUUUCUUUUUUUCACGCGGGAAGAGAGUGCGCGCUGGUCUUUAGCCUUCUCCCCUCUUUUAGAUAUUAUGUCCUUAUUUAGAAUAAGAUUCUGACACCAACAUAGAUCAAUUUGAUUCCAAUCCUAUAUUGAUAGAUAGGGCCCCACAGAGAGGUCCUUAAGGAUAUUGUGGGGAGAGGGCUUCCUCUCUUUCUUCUCGCUUCCUCUUCUGGGCCUAACCCUCGGACCACCUAUCCAGAUUCCCCUUUCAGCCGAGACAGCGGAUCCAGAAAGCAAGGUUUGCCUCCUGAGGCCUUCCUUUCAAAAGGAAGAUAAUAGAUGAGGCGCAAUGAAAUAUGCGAGAAUGAAGAUCUCUUUUAUACUUAAGAUCUCAGUCUCCCUCUCUUUCUCUCCCGCUCUUGAUAUUUCUCAUAAUCUUUUCUUUGUCAAUAUUCUUUUCACCUUGUUCAUUGAGGCGGCGGUCGCACCUGCGAAAGUGCAUUAUUUAAGUUGAUAUGAGAAAGAUCUCAUUUCUGAAUAAUAAGAUUUCAUAACUAGUCGAUAAGAAUUUCAUCUUCUCUUUCUUUUCUCGAUCUGGAAAUUCAUAAAUAAGUAGAAAGCGUCAAUUCAAAGAAUCUUUUUUCUCUUUCUCUUUAUUAUAAAUAACCCACCGGUAGGUCUCGCAACCGCUCCGUGGGUUCUCUGACUUAGCGCUCCUACUUGAGUGCCUUCUAUCUCCCGCCUAUGGAUCUCCUUAUGAUAUGAUUCAUCCCCUAGUACGCGCACUAGUCCUCCGAUUUCUACGUCCCGAUCCCGUGGUGGGUCCGGGCUCCUAGGCUGAAAUUCUUUAUCACUAUCUUGGAGAUUCUCAAUCUCUAUUUGAUUCCGAACUCACGGAAGGGAUUAGUCUUUCGCUUCCCUUGCGAAGAUGGGCACAACUUCGCCCCUCCCUCUCUUUCUUAUGUAUGCGGUCUCCCCACUUCGCCCCUAAACAAUGAAAUACCAUACCGCCUAAAAAGAAAGCGGAAAACGCAACUCCGCAGGUCAAAUUCUCUAAUGGAUAGGCCUUCGUUUUUGCUCUCUCCCUACCUUUCAGUUUCUAGUCGGACUCUGACUCUUCAAGGACAGCGUCAACAGCAAGGACGGGGACUGCAACUUCAUCAACUUACCGCGUAGUGGGCCGAUGAAAGGACCUAGCCUAGCCCCCUUCUGCCUUCCCUUAACGGGAUACCGACCGCGUAGUGGGCCUUCCCACCUGAUUCACGAAAGAAGGACCUGGAAUCAAGCACUUCUGAAACCGAUGCGACAAGGGCGUCAACACCAGGGACGCCACGCAACUGAUCUGAGACUUCUUUCUUUCACUUCCCUGCCAAUCGAAGGGAUCCUCAUUCAUUCUCUAAGGCGGUUCUUGAGUCGUAUGCCUCUGUCUCUUGAUCGGAAACUUUCCAUGGGUCAAAGCGCCCAUCCAAGCUAAGGGAGAGGUGAAAAGAAGAUUUUUCUCUUGUUGGAUAGGCGAACCACCUACUAGUCAGAUUCAAGCCUACCGUAGGAGGAAAGGAAAGGCAUCAAGAAUAUCCCUGUCUUAUGGCACCUGACUGAACUUUCUCCUAUGAAAGAGAGUUUCUACAGUCACUGAAAGAAGCAACUGAAAGAAAGAACCGACUCUCACGGACCCAAGAAUCCUUCGUGCGCUCUUGGGCGGCCUCUUAUUAAGCUCUUCCUUCCUCAACGCGGGUGGGUUCUUCUACUACUUCUGCAUUCAUUCCUCAACACAGGUAAGUAACUUCGAUCCCUUCUUGCUGCUCCGCCGCGCCUAUGGGAAAUUCUCUCUUGGUCGAGCUGGAUGGUGCUUUGUUCUCGCUGCUAGGUUCUAGCAGCUCUUUCUUCUGCCUCUUCUUGAGUAUUUGUACAAAACGGAUGUGUUAAGAAAAUGCACACACUUAUAUGGAUAUAAAGAAGUCCCGCUAUUUAAUUGAAAGUUCCCUUCUAUAUAUUCUUUGCGCCCCUUGUUCAUUGAUUUCAUGCGCUUCUCAACUCAUAUUAGAUCUCGCCUCUCCCUAUGUAUGGUCGUCCGGUUUAGAGUCCUUCGGACGGAGUGCAAGGAUGAUGAAAGAAGAUUAAGACUUCGUACUUCUUCCCUUGUUUCAUGAGACUGGGACUCAUCCGUCUCUUCUUCCUCCCCCUCAACCGAGACUUCCCACUCACUUCAAGAUCUCAUUCUCACUCUUCUAAAGAAAAGAAAUAGAAAAGCCUACAUCUCGCCUAUGGAAAGGGUCGUAUUCAGACCUAUCCUUGCUGAGGCAGCUGAGCUCAUAAGCCGAUUCUGACUUUUGAUGUGAGACAGCUACUCAUGAAAGAAGACUGAUAACCGCCUCCCUGAACAAGGUGAAAAGAAGAUUGAAUCCGUGGGUUUGGAAGAAUUGAAUUUGGUCUUCCCUUUCUUAAGAGAGAAUGAAUAGUUCGUCCUACCGCGGAGUGGGGGGCCCAUUCAACUGAGACUUCUGCCGAUGAGGCUUUUUCAACUUCCACAGAGAAUGCUACCUUGUAAAUACCCUUCCACGAGACAAGGUGGAGAUUCCAGUCGUCGAGCCAUUUCUUCUUGCAACUGGAAGAACCUCUCAUGACUCUCUCUCUUUCAUACUCUUUCUCAUUCCACUGCUGCCCUAGCCCCGUCAAUGAACAAGGGUGGGGGCUAGUUCUAAGGGGAAAGCUUCUCCUGUCAACUCGGGAUAGACCCACAAACACAAAAGAGAAAAAAGAAUUACCAGACGGUGUCCAUUUUCACAUGAAAAGGAGAUUCGGCAUUCGGAAUUAGAUGCAUUGGCAGUCGAGCUGAAAUCUUCUUUGAACCUAGCCUUUCCAGUCAGAGAAUAAGACCUCUGUAGCAUCCGCAACUGAUCAUACUCAUUCCACUUAUGAAGACUGAUGACUAUAGUCAAUGCCCACUACGCGGGGAAAGGGGUGUCCGAUCCGGCCCUAUAUAAGAGGCUCCUAAAGGAGGAGCAACUGCGCUCUUCCCAGAAGGGAAGGAGACUGGACGAGAUAGACGCAGAGCUUCUUAUUGGGCUACCGGAGGAGCACGGCCACUACGGAGGAUGAUUCGUCAUCCUCAGAUUUCAGACGAUUCCCGCAUUUAUCAGACUAAGAGGUCAAGCCUCUACCGAUGCCAUUCCCGGGCAAAAGCUUGCUCGCCUAUAUUCCCCUUUCCCCGGUGGUUAACUUACCAUAAAAGGAUUAGUUGCUUAACUUACUCUUUUCCCUCGUAAAUCCGGAAACUCUCCUGCCGGCGAUUACGUGCUUCGGUUCUCUCCGAUCCGACCCCUUGGCGGGGAAUAGCCGGUCCGACCCGACCCGAAAGUCUAAGGUUUUCCUCCGUCUCAAUCCCCCGUCACCUGUCCGGAGGAUUUAUCCGUAGGACUAUCCAUUAGAAGCAGGAUUUAUCCGUAGUCCGGACCCUGGACCUUUCUUUGGCACUAGCAAAAUCAUGUAUUUCACUCAAGGUUAUGAAAUCAUAAUUCUUCUUUCAUUAUCGUUAAUGAGCUUCUUUUCUUUUUCUUUUUUAGUUCACUUCCACGCAAUAUUCUUUGCUCCUCAAAUUCAAAGAGCCGGAGGCUCCCUCCUUUGGAGUAGUCCUUUAUCAAGCUUAACCUGUGGUCUAAUCAAUUUCUUAAGAAUCUUUGCUCCUCAAAAGAAAGAAUGUCCAUCUGAGUCAGAAACCGCAUCUUUGCAACCUUUGGGAUCAUGACUCCCAGGCAAUAUCAAUAUUCUGCUUUCUUCCUUUCACAAGGGGGUCCGCUAUCAAGUCAGAACCUUUCACUUUCCGAUUUCAAUGAAGAAUUCAAUCUUCUUCUUUUUUCCUAUUGAUCUCGUAUUCAUACUUCUAGGGGAAGAAGGAGCUAGCUACUAAUCCGACCAGCCGCACCCAAGGCAUCCUCCUAACUCAGACUUGAAGAAAGUAUUCGUCACACCGCUCGGCAUCGCUUCGCGCUUCCAAAGAAAAUGGACUAGAAUAUGGACUAUAAUACAGGGCGCGGGGGGAUUGAAUAAAGGGAUUUUCAGAAGGGGAAGUGGGAACCCCAUAUCCUCUACCCGACCCGAAUGCUUGGACUCCCACGUAGCGGUCAAAACUUCCAUUUUUGGAUGAGAAGGCUGGAUGAAAUUCAGUCGAGUGAGGCUGAAUUCAUAUUCGAAAGGACUGCCCUUUUUCUCUUUUAUCAAGACUACUUUAUCCUAUGCGGCUCGAAGCCCACGGAGCGGGAAGAAGCAUAAGAAGUCAUCCGCGGUCAAAAGUCGAAAAGGAGAAUUACCGCGUAGUGGGUGAGUCAACUUCUCUAGAAGACUCGCACCGCGGGAAAAUGAGUGAUCCUUUGCUUGAUCUUUCUCAGAAUGAACUUCAGACGAGAGGUGAAAACGAAAGUCAAGGACUUAGCGAAGAACUCCUGUCCUCGAGAAGAGGAUAAAAAAGGGUAAAGACUACCCCACAGAGGGGUAGGGUCCGGCCACCAUUUCCGGAGAAUUAGUGGAUUGGUAAAUCCCUUUACGAGCCCCAAAUGUGAACAUGGCUUCGGCAGUCCUUAGUCUUUCGGAAGAGAAAGAAGGCUAGGGAAGAUCUCUUUAGUUGGAUUGAGUGAGGGAAGAGGAAUAGGUUGAUCAGAAAAUGAAGUUCUUUAAGCCCCUGCCCUGGCUUUUUUUUUCUCUUGCUUGCAUUAUAGAUCGAUCGGUAUUCCCACUCCAUCCACCCAUCUCCUUUCUUAGACUUCUACUUUCAGGAUUCGGAGGGAAUGAAAAGAUUCUCCUCCGUAGCCCUUUCCAGUAGUGCCCCGAGAAGCCGGUCACCGGUAGGCUAAGAACUCUACGAGUUGAAAGACUUUCAUGCCACCGGAUGAUUUAGUGUGCAAAUGGGUUCAAGAAAACUCUUUCACUGAAAUUGGGGGCCCAGUAUACCGCGGAGUGGGAUUCAUUCGAAAGAAGGAAGGGUACGACCUGGUGGGGAGUGGGACGGAGCUCAUCUCCUUUAGUUGGGUCCGCUGGAAAGGUUGCAGUUGCUUUUCUUCUUUCAGUGGCAGGAGCAGGAUGAGCGGAGAAAAGAAUGAACUCAUGAAGAGAAGAGAGAAAGCCGAUCCACUAUCGGGUCUUUUCAUUCCUAUGCAUUCAGAUAGAAAGAACCCUUGAUCUUUCCGACUAGUCUUCUUCAGAAAUGGAAUCCGCCCUUUAUUAGUGAGAAUGCAGAAAAUCCAAGGGCCCACUUGCGCUCCCUCGCUCGAUAGGCUUUCGCUCCGUCUUCCUCUGUAUCAGAUCUCUCUCUUAAGAUAUAAAUAAGUCUAAGGCUAAGAAUAAGUUCUCUUAAUCUCGCUCCGCGGUCAAAGAAAAUUGAGAAAAAUCAUAAGUUCAGACUUCGGAAGAUCUUCAUCUCUUUCGAAAAGCCAGGGCAAGCCCUGGGUCUGGCAGAGUAUCAACCGAUGGUUAAGAAGGUUAGACUUUCCAUGAACUAUCUACACCCGUCACCUGGACCAUAUGAAUUAGGCGAAGGACUGAUUUAUCAAGCUGAACUUUUGAUUCUAAUUCUCGGUUUUCAGUAGAAAGUUUGAAUUCUAAUAUUCAGUAAUUGCUUUUAGUCAUGAACGAGGCUCCAUAAGACAGGGAUAUUGUAAGGUGCGAGGAUACCUUACUUAAUUAAGAGAAAGAGGAUGAAGUACAGGAAGACUGAUGACUUCUUCUUUCAUCCUGAUCCUUUUUCGGUAGCAGGAAUUCUUAUCAGUUAUCUUUCCUCAGUCACUGUAAUGGGACUAGCCCACUCAUCCUAGUACUCAUCUGAUGAUGGAAUUUCCGAUUCGGAGUUCUAUUUUGAUUCCGGAUUAGGAUGAAGAAGGUUGUCUUUCGCGGACCUUAUAUCUCUUCUGUCGUACGUUAUCGUUCUCAGCGCUUCCUCUUCCUCUUUUAGUCGAGCCACGCUAGACCUUCCCUUUCUUUUCUCUUUCCACUUCUAAUCCUGAAUAUCUUCCUUAUCAAUGAUCUUUGCUCCUCCUUCUAGGAAAACUAUGGAAGUAAAGAUAUGGAGUUCUUUUUAUAUAUAGAAGUUUAGAUCACCAAAGGGAAGCAUGCAAAGUCAAACUAUUAUUUUGAACUUCAAGAAGAAUGAGAAGUCGAGAAAGAUCUAAUACUCACUUCCCAGUCGGUUCUCAUAUGAAUUCAGCCUUUUCUUAUGUGAUUUUCCCGGUAAGAGAAAGAGGAAGCCAUUAGUGACCAACUGCCAUUGAAUGAAUCAGAUUUCGGGUUCCGUAGCUGCUGAUAUAUAUGGAGGCAGUGGCUCUUCUUCCAGUUGGACGCGCUAUCACUCAGAAUUAGUACGGUCUUGAAAUCGAGGAUCUUGAACGAGAAGAUAAAGAGACCGAUCUCCAUCAUACCCGGUGGCUCGUGGCUCAGUUCUUUCUUCCAUUAAGAAAGGGAAUUACCAGUGGAAAGUACUCGGUCUUCAUCUGUUGAUACAGACAUAAUAUCUCAGAAUUCCUUGAAUUAUCUCUUUUGAUUAUCCGUUGAGGCAGAAGCAAGAAAGAAAGAGUCAUGAGAAGGAGCUGAGUCAAGUUAAGUCGGAGCAGCUAUCCCUAGAAGCAAGGUAACUGAAAGAAAAAGCGAGAUCAAUCGUCGUUCCGGAUCGAAAGAGAAAGAUCCAGCUUUCAUAGUGGCUCGACUUUCUAUUAAGUAAGAGAAAGCGCCUAGGUUAUGAGAAUAAGCGUCAGACAGAGUCCGCUAGAUCCGUGGAAGAAGGCAGAGCGGGAUCGAUCCGAGAGGAGAAAGGAAAGAGUGAGUUUACGAACGAGAGGAAGCGAGUCUCAUUCAGAAGAGGAGGUACCAGCCCUUUCCUUUCCAUUUCAGAAGAGGUCGUAUUCAUUCUAUCUAAUAGUGGAAAAAAUACAAGAAAAGAAGAGUGGAAUUAUAACAUAAGAGGCUCAAAGAAUUUGAGAAAGAGGUUAAAGACAUAAUAUCUCAAGAGGAAAGCCACUAAACCUAAAAAUAAUACGGAAAGCCUAGCCUUCUCCGCCGCAAGAAUGAAAUGGAAUAAAUCAGUCCAAGAAAUUCAAAGUGGAAGGCUGAAUAGGGAAUAGGGGAGGACUAGUUUGAAAGAAAGGAUAUAAGAGGAAGGAAUUGAAUUUUGAUGCAAAACAAAAGAAAAGGAGUGUUAACAAAAAAAGCCUUACUAGAGAGAAAGCCUUCUAAUGGAUAGGACUCCGGACUGGAAGAUUUCCGCUUGAUUUUAAGGUUUAGGAGAGGCUGAAUGAAUUGAGUGAAAGAUUAUACAUUUUUAGCUUCUUAAUCAGUUCAUUAACGAGAAUUCAAGAAUAAUUCAGAUUUCAUAACCUUGUUUUUACGGAGGGAAAUACAUGAUUUUGCUAGGUUUUGGGCCUAUAAAGUAGCAAGAAAUCAAGUAAAAUGCCUUCUUUUUUCUCUAUUUUCGUUAGAUAAGAAAAGUCGAAAAAGUCCUAUUUAGAAGCAAAAAAGCCGGGAAAUAGCAAGGCAUUGUCCUAUUUGAUUUUCGAAAUUCACAUAGUUUGUGAAAACUUCUAGUUUCUGGUCCGGAGAAAUACGGGUCUAUUCUUUAUUUCACUCCGUCUGCAAUCUCAAAAUCAAUGAAGGAGUACAAUGAACAUCAUAAUGAUUCUUGAAUUCGAGUUAAUGAGUGAAUUAUUCUUUUCUUUUCUUGACUUUUCCGCCAUAAGACAGGUCCUCCGGACGGUGCAAAGAAUAUUGCUCAGAUUUUCGGUUCUCAAAUUUCAUUGAUCCAUUAGAAUGUUCGCAGCUUAAUAUGUGGGAAGGAGGAGUCUUAUUCCUUGCCAAAGGGAAAGGGAUUCGAAAUCUCAAUCUGUAUUUAUUUCAAGUGGUUUUGUUUUCAUAUAUGGGCGAUCGAGUUUACCUUUUACUGGGUCAUUAAUGCAUCAAUGGAGUCAAUUCUUUCUUCUGUUUUUUUAGAAGUAGGUCGGCCUUGAUGUAUAUAUAGAAUACUUCAGUUCCCACCUCCGUGUGUAUUGCGUCUUUGCUUCAAUCCGGGUCAACGAAGUCAACUUCCUUUCCUUACCUUAAGCCGAAGGAACCCGUACCUUUGCCGCUGGUGCUACUUCAAUGGAUUAUGGGUAAAUGUUAACGUUAGUCUCUAAAAUAAUAGGAAGGGCUUCCGGGAUUAUUCAGUUCUAAGGGGAUCUGCCUUUGCUUGUGUCUCCACCUGUGCCCGCCUAAAAAAUAAGCUUGAGAAAUGAUGGGUCGGUUGUGGGAGGUAGGGAUCCGUCCCACGUAGCGGUUGGAAUGCCGCGAAUUUUGUGGUACCUCUAGGGCUGGCUGCUCUCGACCCGAGAGGUAAACGAAUGCUCUGCGAAUUGCUAUCUAAACCCUAGUAAGUUCCUGCUGCCUUUCUUUACCUGCUGAUAGGUUCUCAACGGAGACUAGUCCUUUUGCUCUUGUCUCUGCCACAGCUGCCUCUGCUGGUUCGUUUGGAUGCUCCAACGUCUGCUUCAACCGGCGUAUACAAGAUCAAUUGAAAUUGAAAAAGACUGAAAAUGGAAUUUCAAUUGCCGAAACCCCAUGCCAAGAUUUCAUUCAAGGCCGUCCAGCGAAUGCUCGUUCUGUUGUCAUACAGAAUCGGAAGCCCCUUCUCGAUCUCAUAAGGCUGAUCCGUCGGAAAGAAGACAGAACGAACUGGAUCGGAGAAAGAAAAUCGAAAUCGUCAAAUAUUAGAAUAGCGAAUAGUUCUUACAAUAUCCCUGUCUUAUGGAGCCUAACGGAGAGGUCCAGAUGAAAAAUAGCAUUUUACAGUGAUUUCAAAUCCAGAGGUUUCCCGUACUCGAAAAUCUCUUCCCUCUUUCGGGGUUACCUACUUGAGGGCUUAUAAAUGGCUUUGGCACAAAGAACCUCUCCAACGAGAGAGAUAAUAAUCUUCAUCUUUUGUAAAAGAAAGAAUCAAGUCCACCGGGAGACAUUCAUACAUAAACCGCUCUACCGUAGUUGUUCUUGGCCGCCCCAUUGUUGUGUAGUUUAGUUGAAUUUGACAUCUGCUACGACCCGCUUGUUCAAUUAUUGAUAUCUCUCAACCUGUCGCUGAAGUCACCCAUGCGCUCGAACGACCUUUAAUGGAAUGGGUACUCGAGACCGCCUCACCCUAAACAGACACUGGUGGAAUCAACCCUAAGGCACCCCUUUACUGAUUGGUCGAAGAUCGGUGACUGCAAGAAAAGGGCCUAGCUAAGGCGCCAACUAUUUAGUCAUAUUCAUGCCCUUCUCCCAAGAGUGGAAGAAAAGGCUACCGACUUGGCCUACUUUGACUACGCUAUUCUUCCCAUUUCGAAAGAAGCAGAAGGGGAACCCCUAGAACCUGGCAAAGUCGACAACAGAUUCAAUAGCUGGGGUGGGGAUCUUGCUAAGAAUUCAACUCCUAACCAACAAUCAUAUAACCGGGGAUCCUCUCCUCCCUUCUGGCCAUUGAAAGCAUGAACAUUGUUCUUAGGAUUCGUUCAAAAAAAAGAGCAUUUCCCUAAUCUAAUGCCAUGCCCUGAGUCCUAAUCUCCUAAUGCCCGUACUCCAAGAGCUAAAUGGCAUCGCAAUAUUCUUUGCGCCUUGCUUUCGAAAUCUUCUGAUCGCCAUUCUCUUCUUUACAGUCGAGCGUCUGAGAACCUUGCUAUUCCGAGCCUUAGGUCAAUCCCUUCUUGAGCAACCGAUGAAAUACCAGCUUCUUCGAGAACAGUAAGAAGAGUAAGAGCUGAUUAGUUAGCUGCCAAAGGACUCUUCCUCGUCAAUUACAUUGCCUUCUGUAAGAGCUAUUGAUCAUGUCUGCUAGUCUUCUGUUUACAGGAAAGGAAGUUGAAAGAGGCAUGGUACGAGAGGAAAGCCUCACGGCCAAUUCAGCUAAGUGUCAAAGACCGUUGACAGCUACUGCUAGUCGCAAACCUUCUCUUCUGAAAGAACCUAUUUGCCCACUGACUUUCAGCUCUGUAAAAGAAGCCCUUCCCCUAUUGAGUGCCACUUCGAUAAUUCUUUGAUCCUCUUCCUAUUCAUGCAAGAACAGCACAUUCUAUGCCAUCUUCCUUAUAUUCUUAACCGCAGACAAGGCCUGUAAUUCAUCUGCUGCCCAGACCAGCUACUCCUGUAAGCAAGGUUCGCAAGAUAGUUUGUCCUGUCCAUCCUUUUCUACAUCUAUCGCUGAACCAACUGACAAGAUAGGCCGGCUGGAAAAGUUCCCCAAGGCCCGCCCCCUGAGUGAUCAGCUAAGUCAAACUCCAAGAUCUUUGGAGCUAACAGCCGUACUAGGAACCCUAUCUGACUGAAAUGUAUAUAUAUAACGUUUCGUUCGUGCACCUUUUGAAUUCAAGGUAUAGCUCAAUCUAAUUGAAAGAACCCUUACCGCUCCGUGGGGGUCUCGCUCAAUAACAUUUCAGAUUUCUUUAAGGGAAAGCGAAAUGAGAUUGAACCCACCCGCAAUGAAGGUAUCGCAAAAUCAGAAAUUCAAGAUCGGCUCUCUUACAUUGAGUGAAACCCAGUGACGCGGGAUCGGCUCGAUGUCCUUGAGUCUUGACCUUUCAUUCAUCUUCUUCUCUUAUCAAAUUUCUCAAAUUUCUCUCGUCUUUGCACCUCUCUCCAAAUUUGUCUGUGCAAUCAGAAAACCCACUUGGCUCAAUAACCGGAGAUGAAAUAGUGAGGGUUAGGUUUAUUAGCUAAAAUGAAGAAAAUGCAUAUGGCUGGCAUCAACUUUUUGAUGAAAAUCAGUCAUUGGCAGAAAUAGCUAUUUUAGUCAUUUUAUAACAAAAAAGACGGGGUUUCUGUCAACUGAUCGAGGUAGAUAAAGACAGGUUUCCAUUUGCUUAACACAUUUCAUUCUCUUCUUCGGUUUGUGGUAAAGCUCUUUCUUUUUAUCGGUCAAUUCUUCCCUCUUCUUUUCAAUUUCAACUCCGAUCCCGAUCCCGAAAGGUCAAGCUGCAAAGCCCCUUUCCGCUGUCGCUGCGCUCCUUGACUUAACCUUUUUUCUUUCACCUCGUAACUGGGUUGAACCUCAGUCAAUUACAUCGACCCUCUCCUUGACUUAAGCUGCUGCAACGGCCAUCAACGGCAACAAGUGGCGUCAUCGGAUGAAGACUUCUGCUUUAGGUGAUUCGGGAGCGGAUGCGUCUCUAUCUUUGGAUUCUGAGUCGGAUACUUCCUUCAUAUGAAGCUACUUCCCCGGUCUUUGCGUAUGCGUCUGUCGAUCCGUCUUCGGAUUCGGCUUGGAUCUUAGACUUCUCUUUCUCUAGUGGCAGCUGCUUCUUCAGAUUAGAAUCGGAUUAUUCUUCUUCUCUUCAAGAGUUGAAGUUGAACAGGCGCACUCACUGAAGGAAGCCUUCCGACCCGGAAGAGGCCUAUGGAGCUGGUUCGGAUUGGGAAAGAGCGGGCACCGAUCCUCUCUUUUAACCCUCGAAAGAGCGAUUGCCGGGAAUAGCAGGACAAAGACUCUCUUUUUCAUAUCUUGUUCAAUGGUCUUCGGCCUCCAACUAUCUUUCUUUCUUUAGCUAAGGACAAGCCAAGCUAGAAGUUAGAAUCGAAUUGAAUAAAGUAAUGGUCGAGAUCGAUAUCGCCGGGCUAGUGCGGCUCGAGGAGAAGAUAGGCAGCUCGACUCCUCGAGGAAAGGGCUAAAAAGGCUUGACUGAAAGGGAAAGGGGUAGGGGUUGGAAAAUGGGAUUCUGGUGAAAGCGCUAGAAAGAGGAAAUCAAGGAUUGUCCACCAUCAAGUAUCUAGUUGCAGGGGGGGGAGUUUCACCGACUAGUAUAUAUUCUGAGAAUUCUGGUCGAAGAAAGAGCCAAGCCGUUAUUAGUGGCUUCAAAACGGGAUAUCGCUGCUUCAAAGGAAGGCAAGGCAGACCGAACUACAAGAGCAUUUGGCAACUAUCGCUAGAAAGAAGAAGGCAAAGUCAAAAGGUCAGUUACUCGACUCGCUACAAGAGCUCCACCAACUAAACUAGCAUGUAAUGUUGCCGGGAGGCCUGAAAAAAGAAAGCGCUUUUUUCUUUGGGUGGCACAGCAUGGGAUUGCCUUAGUUGAGUCUCUCGGACGGGAAGAAAGGGAUUCCGUUCCAUUUCCUUUUUUAAGGAAAAGAGGCCGUAGCCCGAUCUCAACUGGUUACCAGACGCGUGACUGAGUUCUCGGUUUUGGCAGUUCUGGGCAUUGGUUCACGACUGCGCUUUCCAAGGUAGUUCAGAAGGGCACCCGCGCAUUCUUUUCAUUCAACUGGGCCUCGUGAAUGGGAGCUUAUCUCAUUCCUCCAAGUCUUGGCGCGACUCAGCUCCCACAUCCCAGGCGUGUUUUUGACCCCAUUCUCGCCGUUCUCAGGCAACCCCGCUCACCAGAACGAGUUAUAGGCCUCGGACUUUAGCAAAGGAAGCUAAAGUGAGUAAGAGAUGCUAUUCUUAUAACUUCUAAAAGGAUUCCUUGUCUUCGACCUCCCCUCUGAAAAAGCGUUCUCAAAUUCUUUGAUCCUUUCUUUCCCAUCCCAAUAGCUUGAAGUGGAAGCAUGAUAGCCGAUGUGCUCAAAGAAAGAGAGAAAUAUUCUUUCAUAAUAGAUCCGUGAUCGGUAUCAACAAAAAGAGUCUCACAUGCAUCUCUUUAUUCACUAGUCUUCCUAGCCAAGAGAGACCUCGAGAUAUUCCAUACAUACGGAAAGCAUGCCGCGUAGUGGAGCAAUUGCUUAGCUCGUCAGGCUCAAGACCCCCACGUAGCGGUUAGAGGUGGAAAUCCUGUCUCCGCAACAUCCUUCUAUUUGUCUCACAUUCAUCAACCCUUGUGGGGAGAGACGAGGUUCUCCUAACAAUGGACCUCGUCUCAACGAGUUCUUUCUUGAAGGGAAGCAGUACUUAAGCAAGAGGGGUCUCACGGUGGAUCGGAGAAGAUACUCCCUUGUAUUCUUAUUCUUAGUCGAAGCUAUGCAUGAGUGGAUCUCUUCUCUUGAUGAGGAAGCAAAGAAGCAGAGCGGUAUAAGCAAUUCCUCUUCUUAAUAGACCGAGAUAAAAGAGGUUUCAUUCCACUAGAUUGAAUGCAUCCUUCAUCUUCAUAGACCUUACCGCUACGUGGGGGGAAAGAAAGAGAGAAUGAAGGUGAAAUUCAAUUCACCUUUGUGCCUUAAAUUAAAUAGCAUACACAGGAAUGAAACCCGUUGAUUGCUCCGACAGCAUAUGUAUCCAUAGCCUGGCAGGCGCACACAUGGGAAGACUGGAAUUAGCCGAUGAUCUGACCUGAUGGAAUAUUAGAGUGGAACCUACCUCCUCAUCUUAGGAGUGGGCAUACCGCGCGAGAGGGCAAUAGCGAAGGGAGCGGCGUACCAAGACAAGAAAAAGAAAAAGCACAAGAUGGAUAAGCUUGCCUCAAACUGCCAUUAGUGUACUAUAUAGAUAGACGGCUAGGGGUCAUUGAACCCACCAUAGACAACUUUCCUGUCCCGUAAUCCGACAGAAAGAAUAUCUACUAAUGGAAAUUGUGCGCUCUGUCCUUCUUUCUUUUAUGGGGUGGUUUAUCUGAGGCCGACUUCUGAGUUAUUCAGGGAAAAGCAGCGAGACCGUUUUGAAGCUUUACGAGGUUAUCAUACGACUUCCCACGGAGUGGUCUGAAUAUCUGAUACUUAGUUUGGGCUUCCUUUUCUCAAUCGUCCAUUCGUCAAUCUCUAGUGGGGACGCCUCCCUCUAAGAAUUCUUUGAUCGCUAAGUCGACCAAUUCCUCUACUCGGACUAGACCGAAGCAGCGGAUUCGCUACCUAAAUUUAAGGCGGAAGACGUAGCCUGGUUCAUAAUUUUUGAUUGAUACUAGAAUUUCAUUGUGUAUACAGUAAAUAAAGGAAUAAGAGGUUCGAACUCAACUUUCUAGUUGGCACAGCUCCCAUCGCUUGAACUUCAAGUUCAACUUCCUUCCUUUUUCGGUAUGAGGGCUCAGUCAGACUUGGGCAUGAGAAGAGUGUCAGCCAAGUUCGUUGGCAUUACAUGCCUUAGCGCAGGAAGAGAUGCCUUGCCCUGCGUGGUCUUCCUUUAUUCAUGCGGCGGAAGCUAGCGACAAAAGAUAAGGCCAGCACAGUAGAUGUCUGGACGGGCGUCAAAGAGACUUAGUCAAGGAUUCUCCCAGGUUGGGGCGCUCGCUAUGCGGACGGAUGCUGAGCCUGAAUUUCCUCUCCAGCCUGAUCCAGAGUCAUCUGUCUCAGUUGAGUUCAUUGUUCAGACCGCCUGAAUCUCAUUUCAAAUUCUUCCUCUCAAGUAAGAAAUUCUCUCCACUUCCACGCUUAGACGAUAGGCUACUGCUUAGCCGCUUUUUUGCUCUACUCGCAGGACUUUUUCUUGCCUCCUCACCUUGGAAAUGAGUCCACAUCUGCUAGCAGUUUUCGAAAAUUCUGAUGAAAGAAUAUGGGACUGCUCUCUUACAUGUCCACCAAGCGCGCCAAGCUAAGAAGAAAAUCAUACCCACGGCAAAUCCAUGAAAAGGAUUCUGCACUCCCUCGCGUAGUAGGAUAGGCUUUCUUCCCCUAUCUCUUCUUAUGGCGGCUUUCCCACGGGGCGGUAGGUUCAGAUAUAAGAAGAUAUAAGGAAUAAUCAAGCUCUUCUUCUUCUUUCUUCUCUUUUUUAUUUACUUAGCCAUUCUUUGAUUUGAAUUGAGUUCUCGUAUUAGUAUUAUCUUUGAAGGAGAGAUGGAAGGAGACCUACGGGCCGGAUUUACCGCGUAGUGGGUUAGUAGGGCUCAAGGGAAUUCUCUUGAAACUAGGCUCGGAGAGGAGAAAGCCUACCCUCCAAAUGAAUAGACGAAAGAAGAAAAGGAAAGCGAUGAAUAAGAAAGAAAAUGGAGUGAAAGGAUCCGGAUCAUUCUUCUUCCUCCUCCCCUCCUGAAAGGGAUGAGUUCGGGCCGCCACCAGGCCUUGAUUCUGGCUUAUGAGCUCGGCUUGCCUCCCGUCGAUCGUAGAUAAGGUGAUCGGACUCCGUGAUGAAUCCUUCCACUCGUGAACUCGGGAAAGCCUAUCAACCAAGUCAUCAAGAUCAAGCCUAGCCUGAAUGAACAAAGGUUCCAGGGAAAGCCAUUACACUCCUAAACAAACCUCUGACUUGGGAGACUCCUAAACCUCGUCUGCUCGGGAAAGGGCUUCCUUUCUUCUUCUUUUCUUCUAUGAAUCAAAUACCUUCCCAUUCAAAUAGUGAGAUGAUAGUAAUCCAACUCCAACUCUUGAGAUAAUUCUUUGAUCCUUUACUUUCUCUUACAAGAGCUAAAACUCUCCCGUAGGUCUGCACUUGCACUCCUCUCUCUCGACUGAUAUAACUCCUUACUCUUCCCCUUCUACUAAUCAGAUAGUUCAAUCAUAAUUCAGUAAAGAUGCGAAUGAAAUAAGAAGAGAUAAUCAGAUUUCAGGGGUUUAUCCUUCUCUUUCAGUGUCUCAUGAAAGAAUUCCGAAAAGAAAUUCCUCUUUAGAUAUUAUGAUAUAUCUUUUUCUGGAGUCCGGAUUGCUCCUGCGUCUUUCUUUACCUUUCAUCCUUAAGUUUCUCUGACUUGAAGUAGGUUUAGGAGUGAAAGGCCUUUCUAUUUGCGUGACGUAGAUCGAUAGUGAAUUAACGACUUAUCAAGAAGAGCGGACUCGCCUCAACCUUUGUUCAUUGAUUCAGUCCUUAUAUUCACCUUUUAUUUGCCGCCUGAAUUCUGUGGAAUCUUUGACUUAGUGGAUAAAAAAGGUCAGUCUUCCGCUUAUUAUGAGAUUUCUUUGCACUCGACCUAAUACCUUUCCUGCCGGUCUUUCCGUUGAGAAAGACGCUUUUCAAAGAGUUUGGAGAUGAGGGCUGAUGUUCUUUCAGGUAUCUCUCUUUUUUCCUAAUGCCUUCUUUCUUCAUUGAUUGACUUCCCAAGAACUCUUACGUGAAAACUUCUUGCUCACCCGCGCGCUGGGCUUCUCCCUUUGCCUUUGUAGAUAAGCGAUGAGCCGACUUUCCAGUUCUUCGUCUUGACACACCUAUAUUAUUAAUUAAGAAAUCAGUCGUACUCGCCGAUCCAAUGCUAUUCAACGGAAAGAGAGACCUCCUUCCCGCUACGUGGGGAAAAACAAAGGUCUAGAUUUACUGACUCAACUCGGGAAAGAUCUCAAUGUGUAGACGGGCGGUCUAAAGAAGGUAAGAGAUUCCAUUCCACCUGUGCCUGAGGCCUCGUCUUUCUCUCCGAGUUCGAGAUCCUCUUUCUUAGUGUGAUUUCUGACUUUCUCUGGAUUCUAUAAGAUAGAAAAGGCCUUAGGCAACUCAGACGAUCGAAGGCAAGAAGAACUCAAGACAGCCGACUCGAACCACUCCUGGCCGGCCGUGCUUAUGUCUCUCAUGAUCGUUCCGAGAUUCUAUAUGAUAGGGGAAGAACUCAAAAAAGACCUUACCCGCCGAUAUGCCUCGUCUCUCCUCGUACGGGUACAGAGGAUCACCGUCGGCCUGAACCAUACCAUACAAUGAGAGGAGGGAAAGUUCAUUCUUUUUUCAUGUGUAUUUGCCGGGUUGUCCACCGCGGAGUGGGUCUUGGAUCUGGUCACAAUUCAAGCAUAAUCGUAGCCUCUCCGCCCUAAACCAACUCCAUUCCUUAACUCCUCUGGCUUGUCUUCAGGUUAGAGAGACGGGGAUAAAGAAAAGUCUCGUGAAAGGAUCUCAUUCUUCCCGCUGAUGGUCUGAAUUGUCCUUGGAUAGAAAGAAAAGGAAUAAAGAAAGGUGCGUCUUUCCCAUUCAUUUUUGGAUGAAAAAGAUUUCAUGGAAAACAAUUAGGGCGGGAUCAGAAGCCUAGGCUUGACUUCUUAUGGUAGGCUUUCCUGGAGAUAGUUGAUCUUUUCUUUUUCUUUCGAUCAUUCUUUCUCAUAUUCAUUCACCCGCGUAGUGGGGAGCAGCAAAGGUUAAUAUGGAUUUCUGAGGACUGAGGAUCAUCAAAAACAAGGUUGAAGAUGACUCGUCAGAGGACUCUACCCUAUUUAGAGCGCAGAUAAGUUGUUUUCUCAUCAUAACCUUCCCUUCGAUAAAAAGACAAAAGAACCGAUACGAUAUUUCCGAAAAAGGCUGAUAAGCCUUUCUCAAAUGUGAAGUUGGCUUUCUUUUUAGUUUGCAUGAGGGAUGUCUUCGCUUCCUUCAUAUUCUACAUCCGUUUCACUUCGAACCACCCUGAUGUGCGUGGGUGGUUCUUCAGCCACGUUCACUAGUAUUCUCUCUUAGUUGUCUCUUAGAUUAGAUGAGACGCCUUCGUCUUAGGCCUGCGGAUGAAAGCUGACUUCACGCUUUCCCCCCAGCCCCUCGGGGGAGGAGAGGAAGACGGAGUUUGACCUUUCAGGAUAAGCCUUUCUAAAAUGGUAACUACAACCAAUAUGCACCGAAACGGGUAAAAUAGUCCUCACAUUCAAACUCUCGCGCGGUUCGGAGGUCAAUUCGACUAGGACCCUUCUUUUCCCUAUGAGAUUCAUAACGGAGGAUACCGGAAAGGGAAGACAGACUAGGGAAUUCGUAAUCGUCAGAAAGUAGGGCUGAGGAUAUUCUUUCGGAGUAGCGGAAGCGUAGCGUAGCGGACAGCCUGAAACUACUUUGACUUCCUCCUGUCUUUCUCAGGAGCGGAAUCAAGAAUAGACCUCUCAGUAUCCGGAAAAGAAACUCAAACUAGAAGUCUUCAUUGAUUUUCCCUAGAUUUUUCUAAUGGACCAGUUGCUAUUUCCCGGCUUUUUUGCUUCUAAAUAGGACUUUUUUGAAGAUUGAUAUUUAACGAAAAUAGAGUGAAAAAGAAGGAAUUUUCAUGAUUUCUUGCUACUUCCCUAUGGGCAAAACCUAGCAUUUCCCUCCGUCUUCAAUCUAGCAGAUUCAUUUUGAGUACAAUGAACAAGGUGAUGAAAUCAGAAUUCUUCUUUCAUUCGAGUUAAUGAGUGAAUUAUUCUUUUCUUUACUACAAGUCUUCUUCUUAUGAAAUAUGAUUCAAAUAAGAGAUAGUCCGAAGGCUCAAAGAAGAUUGAGAUAGCUAACGAGUUUUUUGACUGAUUUUUCAUGACUGCCAGCCAUACCCAAAACAAACCUUGCAAAAGAGGUCUUUCCCGCUCCCUUCCCUUGACUGGGAAAUGGUAGUAAGCUCCGGUGGUCGGAAGUCUGAUUGAAUGAGUCACUGACGAAGAAGGAGAGAUAGGGAUCGGACACAUCUCAUGCGGCGGACUCCUUCCCCUGCUUUUAUCGUAGUUCCUACUGAUCGAUUCAUCAAGAGUACUGUCCUAGACUGAGUUAGAGGAUAGAAAAAAAUACCUAUAACGGAGACUGAAGACUAAACUGAAGCAGACACAACUGGACCUCUGCGCCUCAACGACCUCGGACUCUUUUGCUUAUUCUUCCCGGUGGGUUGGGUUCAGAACGUCGUGAGACUCUCGUCUAAUUCUCUGUCUGAGACUGGAUCGCAUAUGUUCUCACUCAUUUUCCCCUCUAGCUAGAGAUCGCAAGAUCGAAGAAGGCGGAUGACUAUUUAUAGGUGGCCUAAUGUAUCAGCUGAUGGGUCCCGCUUUAGCAACUCAUCUAUUCUCAGUCUCGUUCGUCAAGAAACAAGAGAAAGCGAUCUAGCCGACGGGUAAUCUUUCUGAGCCAGCUACCUAAAAAGAGAUAUGUCCCCAGUUCAAAGCACAAGGCUAUUAGUAAAGCGCAUGAAAGAGCAUAGCAAGCACGGAUUGAUCAUAGCACUUCUUAUUCCACAAGAGAUCGAAGAGGGAGAUCUUCCCCCUUUGAAACUGGGACUGAGGACGAUAUGGUAAGCCAGUCCUAUUCAUCCAUUUCUGAAAGCGGGUACCGAUCCAAGCAGCUUUCCCUGAAAAUAAUAAGUACGAAAAGAAUGGGCGGAAGGAAGUAUGUUUAUGAAUAAGGGUUAGCGAGAAUAGGUUCAAAGACAAAGCUGCUACACCGGCGUCAUGAAUCAGAGGAGGAUAGCAUUGAAUAGGAAUCCCCCCUCGUCGCCCCGUUCUUCUUUAAUCAGUGGUCUCGGAAGUAGUUGUUUUAGUUCGAGUUGCAAGACAAGUGGCUAUAUCCCCAGAAAGAAGGAUUAAUUCAAUGGGAUUGGAACCUGACUUGAUUCUACGGUUUCCCUUAAAGGGAUUUGACGUUCUUUCUUCUUGUCUUUUUCAUAUGACACCAAAGGAAGAAAACGAGAAGAAAAAAAGCUUUGUAGAGAGAACUCCACUCCUCCUACUAAAUAGGGUUCGAAGAAGAUCGACUGUUAAGGAGUGCAAAAUUAGAGCGACUGAUACCUCAAGAGGAGGAGGCAAAGAAAAGGAAGAAGACUCAAAAGUCUGAACUAAAAUCAAGCUCCUUCUCAAUCCGGACUAUCCAUUAUCAGGGCUUAACGGACGGAUAAAAACAAGUCCUUCGCCUAAUUCUCGCAAUAUUCUUUGCGCCUGGACCAAAGGUUAAUAUGGAUAGUCCUACGGAUAAGAAUCCUGGACCUUUCUUUGGCACUGCGGACCACUAUUUAAUGAAUAUGGGGAUCUGGACGGAGUGCGAGAGAAAGAAGCGAAGCGAUCGUGCAGUGCAAGUGCUGGAGCCGUCCUUCUUAACUGCAAAGACUGAUUCCAUGCAUAUGUAUUUUCCUGCUCGCUUCAUCAGCUCCGUUAGUGUAAAGGGCGUAGACCCGCUUCCUAAACCUAGUUGGGUCAACUUAUGUGUAGAGCCGAAAAUCUUUCUAAUCUUCGAUAGCAUAAAGGUGCGCACCUGCUCAACUAGAUCUCUUAAGAAUCCCCACUGAUAGAAUGAGGAGGGGCAAUUGCUUUAUUCAAAGUGAUAGCGGAUGCUGGGGAAACCAUUAGGAAUGCUCAACCCCACCGGGCUUGGGCCCAUAUCCUUUGCUCAAUGGACGCGAGGCUAGUUCCUACUUCCAGCUGGAUUGCAACUACUGAUCUCAUUCUUUUAUACGUGCAUAACCCUCGUGGAACUCUUUCACUGAUAGCCUCAUUCCGGCAAGUUAGAAAGAAGCUAAUGCUAACCAUCAUCAGCCGGAAAGACCCGAUAAAGCCACGAUAAAAGGAAUUGGACAGCUUUCAAUAUUCUUUGAACCGCUCCGUGGGCCCUAGCAUUUCAUUCUUCUUUCCCUCGGCUGAACAAUUACCGCUCCGUGGGCUUCCAAAAUCCCGGCUGCGCUAAAAGCACCUCACGGCCCUAUGCCUUUCAGUCUGAUCUCUUAAUUGGCCUAAUGUAGGCACAGAGAGCAAGAUGGAUGCGGCUGAUCAUUCUAUGCCUCAAGCUCCUGACCAAGGUGAAGAUAUUAGCUUCCAAGCUUUGUCAGCCCGGAAAAGUGAGAAAAUUUCUUAUUCAGAUGACCAGCUCGAGGGCAAGGGAAGAGCCGAAGCCCGCUCUCUCGAUGAUAUCAAGGCUGAGUUUCAGAGAGUUCUUCCGAUCCGUCCGGAUCCCCAUAUGAAUUAGGCGGAGGACUGAUUUAUGGAACAUAGACCUUUUUUUUAGUAGGCUCGUUAGAAAGAGAAAAGAUCAAAAUCUCAAUCGCAUAUUUCAUUGCGCCUCUUCUUACUGGUGUGAUGAUAAGUAUACCAAAGGUCAUAAGUGCAAGAGCUCUCAAUUGUAUAUGUUAAUGAUUCAAAUAAAGGUGCAAAGAGCGCGGGUUAUUCAAAUUUCAGGAUCAGGACUGGUAAGACUCCUUCGGAGCGGUCUUAAUACUCCUAACUACGGCGCAAAGAAUAUUGCGAGGACGGAGGCUCAAAGAAUCCCCCUACGCGGUUCAAAGAAUAUUUCAUGAAUGAGUGAAAGAAGAAAUUCAGCAAUGGAUAGUCCGGAGGUGCAAAGAAUAUUGCAGAGCGGGAAGAAUGGAUAUAUAUUGUAGAGCGGGAGAGAGAAGUCGUCUCCGUUUAGAAUAAAAUAAGAGGAUAGGGCGGGCCCUUGAAGAAUGAUCUUGCUGCUGCCCACGGUUUUGAAUUACUUUACUCUUUUUGAAUCCAGUCAAUGAACAAAGUCUGUUCCUACGGCAAGGAAUGCUCCAAAGGAGGGAGGCAACGAAAUUGAAUCCAGCCUCUGUCUGAAGCCCAAAAGGAAUGCGGGGGAGUCAGAAAGAAGAAAGCCUACGUCACGAAAUUGAAUCCAGCCUUCGUCUGCAAUAAGAAGCCUCCUCAAAAUACUCCUUCGUAAAAGAAGAAGCCGGAGGCAUUUGUAUUGACUCGGUUUUAGUGGAAUCUUUUCUACAUUGAUACGUGGGUCCUCCUUAUCAUUGAUUUGAGUCUGAUUCAGUAUUUCUUAGGUAUUUAUUAGCUCAAAUUCUCAAAAUGCAAGGUUUUCGCCUUCCUGAAAGGGGAUUUCUCAAUCUGAAAAGAGCCUUUCUUCUUUUCUUAGAUAAAUGCGCUUCGCUUCUCGAAAAUGAAUUCAGCCUCAGCCCUAAUUAUCGAAUAUUGCCUUCCACUUGAGGGAUAUUCUUGGAUUUCAGACUCCUCCUAUUUUACCUGGACUGAUUUAUGGAACUUAAGCUCGGAUCGAAACUGAAAGCUAGACAGAAAGAUCUCUCGCAACCCGUUCGAGAAAUGGGAGAGAGAUAAGUUUUAGCAGUUUCCCACCCAACCCAGUUGAAUAGAAAGUGCUUAGGUCGCUGUGGAAGAAAGAGAAGGAGCCUCAUCCAUCUUUUCUCGGGAUUGGAGUUUGAACAUUCUUGAAAAGAAAGAUUUCUUGUCCUAAUCGACUAGGCUAGGUUUCGUAAGGCUGGCCGUCGGCCUUAACCUUUUUGGAUUCUAAUCUCAAGUCUUUGAACCCCAUCAAUGGAAUAUAUAGAAAAAAAAGCGGAAAGAGAGGGAAAGAGAUCAAUGAAUAAGGAUGCGAGAGGGAUCAGGAAGAAGAAAUCUAGGGCAUGCGCACUCGGGUCUUUCCUUCCCGCUACGUGGGCUUACUCGUUCAAGAUCCUGACGCAUAAUUGGUCGUAUGAGAACCUAUACAUACUAACUAUGAAAUUCCCUUCUCGCAGGUGGAGCGGCUGAAUUCCGUCUUACUAAAGGAAACUAAAGUCAUAGUUUUUCUUGCUGUCGCUGUAGUGGAAGGUUCUGUCGUAGCCCUUGUUGCAGGAGAAGAAUUGAGUAUUCCGCUUAGGCACGGGUGUCCCGAGUGGAAGGAAUAUGUCCGAAAAGGCCAACAAUUCUUAGAUCGAAGGACAGACCCCAAAUCGCGAGGAUGCAGUUUUGAGCCAGAAGUCCAGUCCGCUUCAAGGUCACGCUUCGGUACCUCGAGCUAUGUAAGAGAAAGGGGAAAGCAGUGGUACGCUACUGUAGAUAAGAAUAACUUAGAGGGAGUGAACUAUUAGAUGCACAAGAAGAUCAGUUCCAAGAUUCCCAAGAAUAUCCCGUCCUUCGGACAGACGGGUUAAUAUGGAUAGGACUGAGGACCUGUCUGGCCUUCGUAGCUUAAUAAUGGGAUUUUGGAGGGAGCGAAAGUGUUAAAUAUUAUUCGCAUAUUUCAUUGCACCUUCGGACGGGAAAUUGCAACUGGAUGCAUUGUCCUAGGACAGGUAAAAGAAAUUCAUGUGAACUGGUUUCAGGUCCGGAUAAAUACAGGAUCAAGUGCUUUCACCGCUACGCUACGCUUCCGCUCCAAUCAAUGAACAAAGGCGCAAAGAAUAUUGCGAAAACGUAGGUUCAAAGAAUAUUGACUAGACUUAACAGGAGUCCGUAAGGACUAAGAAAUCUAGGAAUGAACUCCGUCUGAAAUCUAGCACAAAGAUGUCUGAAAUCUAGCACAAAUCAAUGAAUAUUGACAAUGAACAAGGCUCAAAGAAUUUGAGUCUGCUUUCAUUCUCGUUAAUGAGUGAAUUAUUCUUUUCUUUUCCGCUCCGUGGGCGUCUAUCAACUUCAUUCCCUAGCUUAGGAUCUUGUCGAGCAAGAGCAUUCUGAUCCGUCCGGAGGCGCAAAGAAUAUUGCCCUAUUUACUUCCCUUGAAAGUGCACUAUCUGCACCCUUGUUUUUGCAUUGAAUUUCAUACUAGGACUAAAGCUAUGCUAUGUAUGGGGAAUGCUAAAGGAAUCCUCCUGUGCCAAUUGAAGUAAUGAACUAGCGGAUCGCAUCACUAAAAAGAGGAAGAAAGUAGCCCACUGCGCGGUGUAGAGGAUCCAAGAAUUUGAGAAAGAAUAUUGACGCUCGACCCCCACUGGAAGAGGAUGAAAUUCUAGACAGGAUGAAGAGACUAA
rnacentral:lncRNA from 1 species